GUGUUUGUAGUGUAGUGGUUUCUGCACGCCCGCCUGUGAAGCGGGAAGUGUCGGUUCAAAUCCGAUCGAGCACC
rnacentral:tRNA from 1 species